GACGAACGCUGGCGGCGUGCCUAGUACAUGCAAGUCGAGCGAUGAUUAAAGAUAGCUUGCUAUUUUUAUGAAGAGCGGCGAACGGGUGAGUAACGCGUGGGAAAUCUGCCGAGUAGCGGGGGACAACGUUUGGAAACGAACGCUAAUACCGCAUAACAAUGAGAAUCGCAUGAUUCUUAUUUGAAAGAAGCAAUUGCUUCACUACUUGAUGAUCCCGCGUUGUAUUAGCUAGUUGGUAGUGUAAAGGACUACCAAGGCGAUGAUACAUGGCCGACCUGGGAGGGUGAUCGGCCACACUGGGACGGAGCCACGGCCCAGACUCCUACGGGAGGCAGCAGUAGGGAAUCUUCGGCAAUGGGGGCAACCCUGACCGAGCAACGCCGCGUGAGUGAAGAAGGUUUUCGGAUCGUAAAACUCUGUUGUUAGAGAAGAACGUUAAGUAGAGUGGAAAAUUACUUAAGUGACGGUAUCUAACCAGAAAGGGACGGCUAACUACGUGCCAGCAGCCGCGGUAA
rnacentral:rRNA from 1 species